rnacentral:lncRNA from 1 species
ACCACGUUCCUGUGAAGGAAGCGAAUGGAUAGCAUGGCCAGUAUUUCAACUGGCUGCUAAUACGAUGUGUACAACUUCAGACAUUUAUGUGAGCACCCAGAGUAAGAGGAUGAAGUUGGCAGUAGCGUCAGGUCAUCUUGCCUAUAAACCACCUAACCACUGCCCUCCAGGGAUAGGACUGAAAUACAGAAGUGCUACCUCGAGAGGACAUAACCAGAUAGACUGCAAGGCAGAGGCAAGAUUUUCCCCAACAUCUUCAUACUGGUGAGCCUCGAGGUGAGAGACAGAGAGCUCCCAGCCUGUUAAAAGCCAGACUGAAGCAAAGGGGGGGGAUCCCCAAGAUCCCGGCCCUGGGCGUCUCGCCCUGAAGCAGAAGACAACAUUGUCACUGAAAACAGCAAGUUCUCAUUCACAGUUAUGUCUCAUGUUAAUUACUAC